rnacentral:lncRNA from 1 species
CUCGGGGCCAGGCCGUGGUGACAGCCUGGUCCCCUGCAUGCAGGUGGUCUCCCUCCUCCCAUCCUUCCUCCAAAGCAGCGAAGUAUCACUCGGUCCUCUUGAGAGACGGAUGCCCCCAUGGUCCUGGUUGGCAUCGCACUGAAAAUACACUGAGAUCUGAAAUGAGAUGGGGGGGGAAAAAAACAACCAGCAACAAACCAACUGCUUGGUUCCAGGCUGACCGAAAAUGUUCGCUUUAAUUGGGGCUCUUUAAUUCCUUUUAGAAACGGUGGAGAGAAAUUUGGAGGCUGGUGCACUGUUCCACAGCAGAAGUUGAAAACGUUCGCCUUUGAUACACAUCAAACCAACGCCUUAACGUUCCCAGGGAUCCCCACUUGCUCAUUACUAAGAACCCAAUGAAAUCAAGACUGUUUAAGUGAGGGGCCGUUUUCUUCCCAAGUUGAACAUAAUGAUGGCAGUUUGGUGAACAGAUGGCGCGGCUGAGCGGAUAAUCCCGGAGCGAGAGGCAGUGCUGGCUCUGCCCCGGCACUGGGGUGCAG